rnacentral:rRNA from 1 species
UACGUAGGCAGCAAGCGUUGUUCGGAGUUACUGGGCGUAAAGGGUGCGUAGGCGGCCCUGUAAGUAUGGUGUGAAAUCUCCCGGCUUAACUGGGAGGGUGCGCUAUAGACUGCGGGGCUCGAGUGUGGGAGAGGAAAGUGGAAUUCCUGGUGUAGCGGUGAAAUGCGUAGAUAUCAGGAGGAACACCGGUGGUGUAAACGGCUUCCUGGACCAUAACUGACGCUGAGGCACGAAAGCGUGGGGAGCAAACAGG